GCCUGGGUGGCUGAGUCGGUGAAGCGUCCGACUUCGGCUCAGGUCAUGAUCCCACAGUUCGUGGGUUCGAGCCCCGCGUCGGGCC
rnacentral:tRNA from 1 species